rnacentral:pre_miRNA from 2 species
AAUCCUUGCUAUCUGGGUGCUAGUGCUGUCUCAAUGCAAUGCACCUGGGCAAGGAUUCAG